CCAGGUACCACCUGCUGGAUCUGGUCUCCACCCCAGGAGGAUGUCACCUCCCAAAAGGAGAUCUGGAGUUACAUGGACACUACCAAAACUGCACCAGGAGUUAUUCAACAGUGCACCUGGACCUCAUGCAGAAGAGAAUGGAAAAUUCAUAGGAUCAGCAACAGGCUCAUUCUGAUGAUAAUAUUGUCUCUGUGGGAUCAUAACAAAUGUGCUUUUACCUGUAAAUCCUGUCUCCAAAAUCAGCCUCUGCAAAUGCCCAGUGAAGUGCAGAGGAACAGAAGGAACAGAGAACUGUCAGAGUACUGAUCACAUCUUAAAGCACUGAUCACAAUGCAAAUGGGCUUUAUCCAAAAGCCACUGAGUUGAGUAAAACUUCUCCCACUCAUUAUUCUUCUUGAUUAUUAAACCCUAGCAAUUCAAGGCCCAGCAAAGUGAUGCAUAUCUAAGAUAUGAAUUCAGAUACAAUAUUUGCAUAUGAAUUUGAACAUCUCCUUUUAGGACAUGCUUCGAUAGAGCACAAUCAUACAGCCUGGAAGAAAUUAAUUGUGCCACUUAUAAAAGGCCAAAGAAGAGAUUAAUAAAAAAAAAAUCCAUUGAUUACAAAAGGUCUAAAUUGCAAUCUCUCAAAGUGUUAAAUCAUUAUUCUCUAUCAGAGGCUGCAACUGCCUGCCUUCUGCUGUGAAGAGCACCAGGUUCAAUUUGCACACCUUUUGGAUUUAAAAUGGUAUUUACAAGGAUUAAGUUCUCAAAACCCAAAUAAUUUCACUGUAAUUUCUGAAUCAGCACAGUCCCAUUAACCCAGCAGGAGGAACUGGGCGGCAAAAUACAUAUUCUCUGUCAAGUAAUACAGCAAAGUCAGGAGAAAAUGUCCUGCCUCACAUAUGGUAUAGCUCAACCCACAGAAUUUUCUGAGACCUGAGCAAAUUAGCUAAUAGUAAUUUAAUUAUAAACACAGUAUUUUUAACAUAUGAAAUGAAAAUCAGGAAGAAAUAAUAUGUUUAUUAAUACAGAUUUUAUAUUUUAAAAAAAAAUUGGUUUUUUUGGAGGUCAAGUCCGCCUUCAGGUCUGAAACCAAACCCUUUUCACUGAUUACAGAGUAGCAGUUCUGAAGAAAUGUUCUUACCUUGCACCACUUCCUAUACAGCAAAAAUGGAAAAAAAGUUUUUCCUCUUUCUCAGUUCUCAUUAUUUAAGAGAAAAAAAAAACCAAACCAAGAAUCAAUUACACACGAGGAUGAAUAAUGCAUAAACAGCCAAUGAACCUAAAAGAAAAUCAUACAGUACUUCAGCACUUAGAAGCAGAAGAACCCCAGCAGUUACAGGCUUGUGCACCUUCCCUGCAUCUCAUAGCUGCCAUUUUCUGUCAUCUGCCUCACUCCUUCUCACUGAACCUUAGGAGCCCUUGGGUUUUCUUUCAGUAUCAUUUCUUCUUCCAAAUGGUUCUCUACAAUUUGCUUUAUGUAUCCCAGUAAUCUUUCCUUCUCAUCCUUUGAAUCCACCAUGAUAUACUGCACAUUAACAUAAAGUUUUCCUGUAUUUCAACAAUUUUUUUCUCAUUUUUUAUUUAUGCUUCUAUAACUGUCUGGGUUUUUUUCCACCUUAGACAAUACCUAUUUCAUGCCAUAAUGGAAAGGCUGAGAUAUAGAAGUUCCUUGGUGACUUUUAGAGGUAUUUUACAAGUGCACAGAAAUUAAAUAAAAUUGCUUUUAGGUAUAGAACUUUUCUUUCCAAGGUUUCCAAGCUUGUCUUCUUCUGAUAGCCUUUCAAGCUGUUAAGUCUGCAUUUCCUGCCACGAGUUUUGCCAAGCAAUCUGAUGUAAUUGCAAGAUGAUUGUGAUGUAUUACAGGAUCAUGAGGAGGAUAAACUGUUAAUCAUGGAUAAGCCAAAAAGUUUGAAAAACACUGAAGG